rnacentral:rRNA from 1 species
AGAGUUUGAUCAUGGCUCAGGAUGAACGCUGGCGGUAUGCCUUAUACAUGCAAGUCGUACGAGAGUUUUUAACUCUAGUGGCGGACGGGUGAGUAACACGUAAGAAUUUGCCUUUAGGAGGGGGACAACAACUGGAAACGGUUGCUAAUACCCCAUAUGCUUUCGAGUGAAAUGGAUUUCCGCCUAAAGAGAAGCUUGCGGCUGAUUAGCUUGUUGGUAGGGUAAUGGCCUACCAAGGCGACGAUCAGUAUCUGGUUUGAGAGGACGAUCAGACACACUGGAACUGAGACACGGUCCAGACUCCUACGGGAGGCAGCAGUAGGGAAUUUUCCGCAAUGGGCGAAAGCCUGACGGAGCAAUACCGCGUGAGGGAUGAAUGCCUAUGGGUUGUAAACCUCUUUUUUCAGGGAGGAAUAAAUGACGUGUACCUGAAGAAUAAGCAUCGGCUAACUCCGUGCCAGCAGCCGCGGUAAGACGGAGGAUGCAAGUGUUAUCCGGAAUCACUGGGCGUAAAGCGUCUGUAGGUGGCUCGACAAGUCAACUGUUAAAUCUUGAAGCUCAACUUCAAAAUCGCAGUCGAAACUAUCGGACUAGAGUAUAGUAGAGGUAAAGGGAAUUUCCAGUGGAGCGGUGAAAUGCGUAGAGAUUGGAAAGAACACCGAUGGCGAAGGCACUUUAUUGGGCUAUUACUGACACUCAG